ACUCCUACGGGAGGCAGCAGUUAGGAAUAUUCGGCAAUGGGGGAAACCCUGACCGAGCGACACUGCGUGAAGGAGGAAGGCCUUAGGGUUGUAAACUUCUGAACGAGAGACGAUAAUGACGGUAUCUCGGUAAUAGCACCGGCUAACUCCGUGCCAGCAGCCGCGGUAAUACGGAGGGUGCGAGCGUUAUCCGGAAUCACUGGCGUAAAGGCGCGUAGGCGGUUACAUAAGUCCGAUGUUAAAGCGUAGGGCUCAACCCCUAUAAAAGGCCGUUGGAUACUUGUGAAACUAGACUUCUGGAGAGGUAAUGGAAUUACCAGGAGUAGCGGUGAAAUGCGUAGAUACUGGUAGGAACACCCAUAGCGAAGGCAGCUUACUGGACAGAGAGUGACGCUGAGGCGCGAAAGUGUGGGGAGCAAACCGGAUUAGAUACCCUGGUAGCGAGUAG
rnacentral:rRNA from 1 species